UACGGAGGGUGCUAGCGUUGUUCGGAAUUACUGGGCGUAAAGCGCGCGUAGGCGGCUUUGUAAGUUAGAGGUGAAAGCCCGGGGCUCAACCCCGGAACUGCCUUUAAGACUGCAUCGCUUGAAUCCGGGAGAGGUGAGUGGAAUUCCGAGUGUAGAGGUGAAAUUCGUAGAUAUUCGGAAGAACACCAGUGGCGAAGGCGGCUCACUGGACCGGCAUUGACGCUGAGGUGCGAAAGCCAGGGGAGCGAACGGG
rnacentral:rRNA from 1 species